rnacentral:rRNA from 1 species
AGAGAAUCGUUAAGCAUCCACCUGGGGAGUACGCGCAACGUGAACUCAAGGAAUUGACGGGGCCCGCACAGCGGAGACAUGUGUUAUUCGAUGAUACGCGAGAACCUACCCGGGCUUAAACUGCCAGUGAACGAUACAGAGAUGUUGAGGCCCUUCGGGGCACUGGUGGAGGUGCUGCAUGGUUGUCGUCAGCUCGUGCCGUGAGGUGUCGGCUUAAGUGCCAUAACGAGCGCAACCCUUUUCAUUAGUUGCCAUCAGGUAAUGCUGGGCACUCUGGUGAUACUGCCACCGUAAGGUGUGAGGAAGGUGGGGAUGACGUCAAAUCAGCACGGCCCUUACGUCCGGGGCUACACACGUGUUACAAUGGGUGGUACAGAGAGCGGGCUGCCUGCAAAGUCAGCCGAAUCAUGAAAGCCAUCCUCAGUUCGGAUUGGGGUCUGCAACCCGACCCCAUGAAGCUGGAUUCGCUAGUAAUCGCGCAUCAGCCAUGGCGCGGUGAAUACGUUCCCGGGCCUUGUACACACCGCCCGUCAAGCCAUGAAAGCCGGGGGCGCCUGAAGUCCGUGACCGCGAGGGUCGGCCUAGGGUGAAACCGGUGAUUGGGGCUAAGUCGUAAGCAAGGUAACCAGACUGGAGAUCUGGAUCCCUCGAG